AAAAAAGAAAAAAAAAAACAGAGAAAAAGAAAGGGAAAUUCUUUUGGUUUCCCUUCACCUUCCCCUCCUUCACAACCCCAGCGAGGAAAAUCCUGCUGUGCUAGGGUUUCUGGACCACUCCGAGCUCGUACCGCGACGGACUCCAUGCCCAGAAGCCCCUCCUUGUGACCCUCGCAGGCCUCUACCUUCCCAAAGGUUUAAUUUCUCAAACGCGCUUGGUUGAUCUUUCGAGAAGGAAAUAUUUUUGUGGUUGAGUCUUUGAGUAAAAGAAAAUCAUGUCCGGAAGAAAUCGUGGACCACCUCAUGCUGGAUUGCCCCCUCCGGUUCACAAACUCCCAUAUGGAAGAGGACUUGGUCCGAUGCCCCAUCCUGCAUUGCUCGAGGAAAUGAGAGAAUCCCAGCUUGGCAUGGGUCCCAGACAACUUCCUCCCCACCCUGCAAUAAUUGAGGAGCAUCUUGCCGCUCAACAUCAAGAUAUACAAGGACUUCUAGGUAAUAACCAAAGGCUGGCUGCAACCCAUGUUGCUCUUAAGCAGGAAUUGGAGGCUGCUCAAUUUGAGUUGCAGCGAAUGGCUUACCAUGUUGAUUCACUGCGGGCAGACAAGGAUGUCAAAAUGAGAGAUUUGUAUGACAAGUCUGUUCGUUUGGAAGUGGACCUUCGUGGAGUGGAGGCCAUGCGGAAUGAGCUGCUUCAGGUUCGUGCUGAUAUCAAGGAGCUCACUGCUGCGAGGCAGGAGCUCUCGGCUCAGGCACAAGUGAUGACACAAGAUCUGGCUAGAAUGACUGCUGAUUUGCAACAAGCACCAGCUUUGAGAACAGAAAUUGAAGCAAUGAAACAGGAAUUGCAACGUGCCAGAGCUGCCAUUGAGUAUGAAAAGAAAGGAUAUGCAGAGAAUUAUGAGCAUGGUCAAAUCAUGGAGAAGAAUUUGACAUCAAUGGCUAGGGAGCUGGAGAAACUUCGUGCAGAAAUUGCUAACACGGAGAAGAGAGCAAGAGCUGCAGCUGCUAUUGGAAAUCCAGCUGUAGGUUAUAAUGCCAAUUAUGGGAAUCCUGAAGCAGGAUAUGCAGGAAACCCCUAUCCUGCCACUUAUGGCAUGAAUCCUGUACAGAGUGGUGCUGAAAAUUUUCCUCAGUAUGCACCUAUGCCAGGUUCAUGGGGUGCAUAUGACAUGCAGCGAGCUCAGGGACACAGAUAAGCUAGUUCAUCCAUGGUGCUGAGCCCUGUCUUGAUUGGUAUCUUCGCCGCGGUGUAUUAGAUGCUUAGAAGAACAACAGCAUAAUGUAAGGGAAGUGUAUUCAUAGCAUGAGGUAUGCUGUUCAUUGCGAAGACAUUCAACAAUGGAGCUGCAGAAUAAGUUUCUGGUCAAGUUCACAACCUUUUGACCCUGCAAAUCUGCUGCCUUCCAUGUAUGUCCAAUGUUUCUCAAGUUCAGUUCAUGAUUUCUGCAAAUCUGCUCAUGAGGUUUCAUGAGAGAACUCAGAUUAAGGUUUCAUGGGUUAGUUAAAGUCUACAUUUUCAGAAGGAAUUAGAAAAUAUAACCCAGAGGAUACUUCAAUUCUUACGCACUUAGGAUUUGAGUUUCGUCACACGGUUCUCAAAGAAAGCUGCUGCCAACUUCGUUAAAAGUGGUGAUUUCCCAAUUGCCGCACAAGCUAAAGCCAGACUGGUUUGAUUCCUGUUAUCUGAAUGCAAUGAACAAACAACGAGGUGGUUUGAUCUUAUGAUCCCUAAUUUGGUGGUGGUAGCAAUGUUGGUUGACCAUAAAUUGCCUCCUCCUCCGUGCUACUAUAAUCAGAAGGCACCAGGUAAGGUGUGGGAGCUGGCACAAUUGCAGACAAAAACUAUUUUUGUUCAACCGUUUCUCCAUUUUUUUUGCAAGGGAGAAGUUUGUGUUUUUUGGCAAGGGACUGUUUGAUAACCAUUUAGUUUUUAGUUUCUAGUAUUUGGUUUUCACGUUUUUUGAAAUUUAAAUCUUAUUUGGUAACUACUUUCAGAUGAAAACUGAAAACUUAAGGCAAAAUUUUGAAAACUCAAGCGUAUAGUUUUCAAGUUUUGGUUUUUAGUUUUCAUAUUUUUGAAAACUAAAAGCAGUUACCAAAUAUUGUGUUUGGAUGAGGGAUUGUAAUGGUACCAAGGGAUUUAGGAAGGAGUGCACUGCAAAACAUUAGAUUGAUGCAUAUGAAAUGACUGCAAUGCACCAAGUAAUUUGUAAAUGACUGCUUGAAAGGAGCCAUUUGAAAAUCCGUCAUUUAGUGGCCUUGUAAUGCUCAUGUAGGUGUACUUUGUAAUCUAUCAAACUUUUUGUAGUGCAACUCUAAAUAAUUUUAACUAAAUCUCGUCGUACUUGGAAAUUUCUCAUCCAAACAGACCAUAUUAGUUUUUAGUUUUAUGAUGGAGAACCCUUUUCCCCUCGUUGAAAUUCAUGAUUUUUACAUAUUGGAUGACGAAUUUGCCUCAUCGUUUAAUUAACACAAGGAGGUAAAGAAUUAAAAUGAUUUCAAUUCU